rnacentral:rRNA from 1 species
ACGGAGGGUGCAAGCGUUAUCCGGAUUCACUGGGUUUAAAGGGUGCGUAGGAGGGCAGGUAAGUCAGUGGUGAAAUCUCCAAGCUUAACUUGGAAACUGCCGUUGAUACUAUCUGUCUUGAAUACCGUGGAGGUGAGCGGAAUAUGUCAUGUAGCGGUGAAAUGCUUAGAUAUCAAGAGGAACACCUGCGGCGAAGGCGGGUUGCUGGGCCGACACUGACGCUGAGGCGCGAAAGCUAGGGGAGCGAACGGGA